GUCCAGACUCCUACGGGAGGCAGCAGUGAGGAAUAUUGGUCAAUGGCCGAGAGGCUGAACCAGCCAAGUCGCGUGAGGGAAGACGGCCCUACGGGUUGUAAACCUCUUUUGUCGGGGAGCAAAGCGAACCACGUGUGGUUCAUUGAGAGUACCCGAAGAAAAAGCAUCGGCUAACUCCGUGCCAGCAGCCGCGGUAAUACGGAGGAUGCGAGCGUUAUCCGGAUUUAUUGGGUUUAAAGGGUGCGCAGGCGGCGUGUCAAGUCAGCGGUAAAAUGUCGGGGUUCAACCCCGGCCGGCCGUUGAAACUGGCGUGCUCGAGUUGGAGAGAAGUAUGCGGAAUUCGUGGUGUAGCGGUGAAAUGCAUAGAUAUCACGAAGAACCCCGAUUGCGAAGGCAGCAUACCGGCUCCACACUGACGCUGAGGCACGAAAGCGUGGGUAUCGAACAGGAUUAGAUACCCGGGUACU
rnacentral:rRNA from 1 species